rnacentral:tRNA from 1 species
GGAAUAGCUCAAUGGUAAAGCAUAUGCUUAGCAUGCAUGAGGUCCUGGGGUGAAUCCCCAGUACGUCCA